rnacentral:tRNA from 2 species
GCCUUCGUGGCGCAUUCGGUUAGCGCGUUCGGCUGUUAACCGAAAGGUUGGUGGUUCGAGUCCACUCGGGGGCG